rnacentral:rRNA from 1 species
AUGAAGAAGGCGCUUCCCCUAAAGGGCGGUUCGGCAGGCUUAAGGCAUGGAACGAAAUCUCCGAAGGAGCUGGAGAGCGUCUUGAAGCAGUAUUUUGGGUACUCGGAGUUUCGAGGAAGGCAGCUUGAGGCCAUAGAGGCUGUUCUUUCAGGAAGGGAUUGCUUCUGUUUGAUGCCAACUGGAGGUGGCAAGUCAAUGUGCUACCAGAUCCCUGCUCUAGUGAAGACAGGCGUUGUUCUUGUUAUCUCGCCCUUGAUAGCGCUAAUGGAGAAUCAGGUUAGCAGCUUGAAAAGUAAAGGAAUUCCAGCUGAAUUUCUCUCUUCCACACAAACAACUGCUAACAAAAACAAGAUACAUGAAGAUCUCGAUUCUGGCAAUCCUUCUUUAAAAUUGUUGUAUGUCACUCCUGAGUUAGUUGCAACAUCUGGCUUCAAGGCAAAAUUAACAAAGCUCCACAACAGGGGUCUUCUUGGUCUUGUUGCUAUUGAUGAGGCUCAUUGUAUUUCAACUUGGGGCCAUGAUUUCAGACCUAGCUACCGCAAAAUUUCAUCAUUGAGGAAGCAGUUCCCAGAUAUCCCGAUAUUGGCUUUGACUGCGACUGCUGUCCCAAAAGUCCAGAAAGAUGUGAUAUCAUCAUUGUCCUUGCAAAACCCAGUCAUUCUUAAAGCUUCCUUUAAUCGACCUAAUAUCUUCUAUGAAGUUCGUUACAAGGAUCUUCUUGAUGACGUUUAUUCUGAUAUAUCGAAUUUACUGAAGUCCAGCGGAAAUGUUUGCUCAAUCAUAUAUUGCCUUGAACGUGCUGCCUGUGAUGAUCUGACUAUGCAUUUGGCACAGCAGGGCAUCUCUUCUGCUGCUUAUCAUGCUGGCCUGAAUAGUAAAGUGCGAACUACCGUUCUUGAUGACUGGCUUUCAUCAAGGACUCAAGUUGUUGUUGCAACUGUAGCAUUUGGAAUGGGUAUUGAUAGACAAGAUGUCCGCAUUGUGUGCCAUUUCAACUUGCCUAAGUCAAUGGAAUCUUUCUACCAGGAGUCCGGACGUGCUGGUCGUGACCAACAGCCUUCCAGGAGUGUUUUGUAUUAUGGGUUAGAGGACCGAAGGAGAAUGGAGUUUAUUUUGAGAAACAGCAGCAGUAGAAAACAACAGCCAUCUUCUUCUUCAACUGAGCUUUCAGAGAAGACCCUAGCCGACUUUAGUCAGAUAGUUGAUUAUUGUGAGAGUUCUAGCUGCCGACGAAAAAAGAUUAUUGAGAGUUUUGGAGAAAAGGUACAACCAACUUUAUGCCAACGCACGUGCGAUGCUUGCAAGCACCCAAAUCAAGUGUCCUCGCGUUUGGAGGACCUUCGGCGUGUGCCCAACUGUCGCUUUAACAAGAUAUCUCCAGUCUUCAAAAGCUCAUCAGUUGACCCAAAACACUUUGACACGGAAUUUUGGAACCGUGAAGAUGACGUAAGCAUAUCAGACGAAGAUAUAUCAGAUUCUGAUGAUGAGGAAGAGGCAGUGAGCAAUAUCGCCAUUUCAAAGCUUCCAUCAAAAGGAGGGUUUGAAGCAAGACUUGAUGCCUUGGAGCGUGCUGAAAAUGCUUACAAUCAAGCCAAUGGUCAAACUAAACCGCAGGGUGGCAACCUUGUUGACAAGAAGAGCAUAUCUCAGACUCUAAGAGAUGCAAGCAGGAAAAGAUUGUCGGGUGCGCUUGGACAAGCAAAGCUCCGUCUUGGGGAUCUGCUGUUUGCUGAAGAGGCUUCUGCUACACACCUUGAAACCGAGUGCUUCAAGAAGUAUCAGAAAGUGGGAAAGACGUUCUACAACUCCCAGAUAGCUGCCACGGUUCGGUGGCUGUCGUCUUCAACUUCUGACCAAAUCCACGGCCGACUUGAAGCCCUUACCAACCAGACUACAGAAGCUGGUGCAGCCACCAGCUCUCCUUGCAUCAUUUCUGAUGCUUUGGGCAAAGCUGAAAAGCCAGCAGAAGCUACAGUAAGCCAAGAGCUCGCGAAAACCGAGCUUUCUGAUGAGUUUGCAAAGACCAUGGCUUCAACUGAAAACAUGGAGCCUUCCCGGAUGUCACCACCUGAGAAAACAAUAGACGAAGAAGCGAGGAGAGAUGGCGCGAUCGGUACCAUGGACCUUCCCAAGAUACCAUCAUUCAGAGAAUUCAUGAGCCAGAAGGGAAGGGAUCGCGCAACCAGUUCUUCUAGGGCAGAGAGCCAGCCUCGCGGCAUUCCUAGAAAGGCUGGCCCUGUCAUCAGCAAGGAAGGAACGACAGGAACAUCAAAGAAGAUGAAACUAUGA